rnacentral:rRNA from 1 species
CCUACGGGAGGCAGCAGUGGGGAAUCUUGCGCAAUGGGCGAAAGCCUGACGCAGCCAUGCCGCGUGAAUGAUGAAGGUCUUAGGAUUGUAAAAUUCUUUCACCGGGGACGAUAAUGACGGUACCCGGAGAAGAAGCCCCGGCUAACUUCGUGCCAGCAGCCGCGGUAAUACGAAGGGGGCUAGCGUUGCUCGGAAUUACUGGGCGUAAAGGGAGCGUAGGCGGAUAGUUUAGUCAGAGGUGAAAGCCCGAGGGCUCAACCUUGGAAUUGCCUUUGAUACUGGCUAUCUUGAGUGUGGGAGAGGUAUGUGGAACUCCGAGUGUAGAGGUGAAAUUCGUAGAUAUUCGGAAGAACACCAGUGGCGAAGGCGACAUACUGGCCCAUUACUGACGCUGAGGCUCGAAAGCGUGGGGAGCAAACAGGAUUAGAUACCCUGGUAGUCCACGCUGUAAACGAUGAGUGCUAGUUGUCGGCAUGCAUGCAUGUGGUGCGCAGCUACGACAUAAGACGACGUCCGCCGUCGGGGUAGGUACGGUCGGCGUAAGUAA